rnacentral:rRNA from 1 species
CACGAAGUUAGCCGGUGCUUAUUCUUUGGGUACCGUCAUCCCAACCGGGUAUUAACCAGCUGGAUUUCUUUCCCAACAAAAGGGCUUUACAACCCGAAGGCCUUCUUCACCCGCGCGGUAUGGCUGGAUCAGGCUUGCGCCCAUUGUCCAAUAUUCCCCACUGCUGCCUCCCGUAGGAGUCUGGACCGUGUCUCAGUUCCAGUGUGGCUGAUCAUCCUCUCAGACCAGCUACGGAUCGUCGCCUUGGUGGGCCUUUACCCCGCCAACUAGCUAAUCCGACAUCGGCUCAUUCAAUCGCGCAAGGUCCGAAGAUCCCCUGCUUUCACCCGUAGGUCGUAUGCGGUAUUAGCGUAAGUUUCCCUACGUUAUCCCCCACGAAAACGUAGAUUCCGAUGUAUUCCUCACCCGUCCGCCACUCGCCACCCAUAAGAGCAAGCUCUUACUGUGCUGCCGUUCGACUUGCAUGUGUUAGGCCUACCGCCAGCGCUCACUCUGACGCCAGGAUACAAACUCUCUACG